UAUAAUAUAUAUUAUUAUGCUAUUAAGGCAUUACCUACCUAUAUAAGUACUUAAUUCCAACGGAACACAACUGUUGGCUCAUGUGUAAAAAUAAAUAAUCUAAGUAGGAUGACACUUGGCAAUGUCAUAUAAUAUAAUAUACUAUACGUGUCUACGUCGAUAUAAUUCAAAAUUGUUGCAAUAAUAUCAGGCUACUAUAAAAUUAUUUCAUCUUGGUGAUAAACGUAUAAGAUAACCCUAAUAAACAAUACGAUGUACUUAGUGAUUUAGAAGGUUACAGAAAUUGUAACUGAUACGAACACAGUUUGACAUGCUUUAUGUAAGUUUUGUAAACACAAACAUUAUCGUGUUGAAAUUUGUCCGUAUUCAACAUAUAAAACUACAAGUACUAGAUAUAACAACAAUAUGAAAGUACAUCAUUAUGAUUAGUUAUGAGUUUAUGACAUAUGAGUUACCUGUCUACUUAUAAAUUGUAUCGGUGGUGUACUAUGAUUUUGUAAAUUCAGUAAAGUAUUCUUCUAUUUUUAAGAUAUUUUUAUGUUACAACAUUACCACAAUCAUCGUAUACGCGUUAACAUAUUUCAUCCAAUGUUAGGUACCUGUGCAGUUUGUGGGGAAGCACUCUCCUCUUUGAAACAUUGACCAUCCGGCAGGACACGGAAAUGUGGUAAACUGACAUGCAUCAGGAUCUGACACAGCUUUGAGACUUUCCAAGAAGAACUGUAAUGCCCGGAGAUGAUUACAUACCACGCUUGAGUUCAUCGUUCCCUC